rnacentral:rRNA from 1 species
UAUGGGAGGCACCACUGGGGAAUUUUUUACAAUGGGGGCAACCCUGAUCCAGCCAUUCCGCGUGAGUGAAGAAGGCCUUCGGGUUGUAAAGCUCUUUUGGCGGGAAAGAAAUGUUGUNGGCUAAUACCCUGCAUGAAUGACGGUACCCCAAGAAGAAGCACCGGCUAAAUACGUGCCAGCAGCCGCGGUAAUAUGUAGGGUGCGAGCGUUUUUCUGAAUUAUUGGGCGUAAAGAGUGCGCAGGCGGUUUUGUAAGACAGAUGUGAAAUCCCCGGGCUUAACCCCGGAAAUGCGCUUGUGACUGCACGACUCGAGUGUGGCAGAGGGGGGUGGAAUUCCCCGUGUAGCGGUGAAAUGCGUAGAGAUGUGGAGGAACACCCCUGGCGAAGGCGGCCCCCUGGGUUAACACUGACGCUCAUGCGCGAAAGCGUGGGUAGCAAACACGAUUAGAUACCCUGGUAGUCCACGCCCUAAACGAUGCCAACUAGGUGUUGGGGAAGGAGACUUCCUCAGUACCGCAGCUAACGCGUAAGUUGUCCGCCUG